rnacentral:rRNA from 1 species
AUUGAACGCUGGCGGCAUGCCUUACACAUGCAAGUCGAACGGUAACAGGGAGCUUGCUCCGCUGACGAGUGGCGAACGGGUGAGUAAAGUAUCGGAACGUACCUUUCAGUGGGGGAUAACGCAGCGAAAGUUGCGCUAAUACCGCAUAUUCUGUGAGCAGGAAAGCAGGGGAUCGCAAGACCUUGCGCUGAUUGAGCGGCCGAUAUCAGAUUAGCUAGUUGGUGAGGUAAAGGCUCACCAAGGCGACGAUCUGUAGCGGGUCUGAGAGGAUGAUCCGCCACACUGGAACUGAGACACGGUCCAGACUCCUACGGAGGCAGCAGUGGGGAAUUUUGGACAAUGGGCGCAAGCCUGAUCCAGCCAUGCCGCGUGAGUGAAGAAGGCCUCGGUU